CAAUUAUAAAGGUCACUUCAAGUUCUGGGCUUUGAAUUUCCGGUUGAGAUUAUAUCGAAUAUUCUCUUAUCACGAGUAAUUUACUUUUUAAAUCGGACCAGAACUAAUUUGUUAGACUGUCUUCAUUAGGGUUUGAGAGAAGGAGGGUAGAAGAGGAGACAUUAAUAAUGAUGUCGGAGUCGUGUCAUCAAAAAUCCGUCAAACCGAUUAAGCGACGACCAGAAGCCACAUUCAAAUACACAUUAAUGUCAGCUUAAAGUCUGAGACUGAAAUCGAGAGACGGAAACGGAGACAGAGACUGAGACGAAGACGAAGACCAGUCAAAAGGCAAAAGACCAGACUCGAUUUGCGAAUGCGAAUGUUCAAUGCUUAUACCUGGGCUAAGACGUGUCCCUAAAAAAAGUGCCAAGGAGCGAGGCAAACACUCUGGGAUACUCUGCUCUUUAUUGUCGUCGUCGUCUUGUUUUUAUGGAUUUAUGUGUGGGUCGCCAAUGGCCAUUAACUGCAGGUAGCCCAAACCCGAAACCCAAAUACAAACCCGAAAUCCAUUUCAGCAUAGUUUAUGGGUUUUCUCUCAGCUCUCCGUGUCCACAUGUCGA